rnacentral:misc_RNA from 1 species
CACACACACACACACGCGCACACAUAUAUUUAACAAACAAAAGAUGGAAAAACGAAUUAUUUAACAAGCGUUGAAUGAUGAUGGAGCCAAUAAAUAAGGUGCUUGCUUUUAUGUAUCCUCCCAAAAAAAUGGCGACACAUCUAUGGAUUUAAAUUGCAGCCGGGGCCAGAAUAACGGUCUUGGUCGCAUGUUGUCGAAAUGGGGUUUUGUGGUUGUAACUUGAAGGUAAUGGCCUACCACUAUGCAAACUUUUUAGAAAAAGUUGCAAAAUGUAGGAACUAAUAGAUAUUAAUUGAAUCAAUUGAAAUAAAGAGUUCAACUUACUAAUGAGCAUAAAUACAUUACAUAAGAUUCUGAAUUCAUGACUUAUAAUCCUUAUUAACAAUUAUCUUAAUUGAUUAGCAUAAAACAUAGUAGAGGCAGGAAAAAUGGGUGAUCCAAUGUACGAAGCAUCCCACACUAUUUCGGCUCUGGGGAGGGUUGAUGUACGUAGCUUUACUCCUGUUUUGCAAAGAGGUUGUUUCCGUGAGAGUAGAUGAUAGAAAGCUAACCUUAAAUAAUAAGUCUUUAGUACUUACUGCAUGAUCUAUUUCUUGAUCUUCAAUAAAAUUUGGAGUUAUUUUGAAGUGGGUUGAAAAAAAAGAAAACCAGCAACUCAAA